rnacentral:rRNA from 1 species
GGUUAAGCAAGAAAGAGCGCAGGGUGGAUGCCUUGGCACUGAGAGCCGAUGAAAGACGUGAUAAGCUGCGAAAAGCCGUGGAGAGGCGCACAUAGCCCGUGACCCACGGAUUUCUGAAUGGGGAAACCCCCAUGAGAAGACCUCAUGGAUCCAUACGUGAAUUCAUAGCGUAUGGAGGGGAACCCGGCGAACUGAAACAUCUAAGUAGCCGGAGGAAGAGAAAGAAACAUCGAUUCCGCCAGUAGCGGCGAGCGAACGCGGAAGAGCCCAAACCAUGGUGCGUGCACCAUGGGGUUCGGACCACAUCAGGUGAUCGGACAACUUCAGCAGAACUGCUUUGGGAAAGCAGGCCAGAGAGGGUGAAAGCCCCGUACGCGAAGGAGGCGUCCGCGCCGUGGGAUCCAGAGUACAUCGAGACACGUGGAACCUUGAUGGAAGGAGCGGGGACCACCCCGUAAGGCUAAAUACUCCUCAGUGACCGAUAGCGCAUAGUACUGUGAAGGAAAGGUGAAAAGGACCCCGGGAGGGGAGUGAAAAAGAACCUGAAACCCUGUGUUUACAAACUGUCAAAGCACCGUAUGCGUGCGAUGGCGUACUUUUUGUAGAACGGUCCGGCGAGUUGUGCAUACUGGCAAGGUUAAGGGGUUCAGCCCCGGAGCCGAAGGGAGACCAAGUCUUAAGAGGGCGAGAAGUCAGUGUGUGCAGACCCGAAACCGGGUGACCUAUCCAUGUGCAGGUUGAAGAUGCCGUAAAAGGCAUUGGAGGACCGAACCCACAUCCGUUGAAAAGGGUGGGGAUGACGUGUGGAUAGGGGAGAAAUUCCAAUCGAACCCGGAGAUAGCUGGUUCUCCUCGAAAUAGCUUUAGGGCUAGCCUCAUGGGAGUCUCGCGGAGGUAGAGCACUGAAUUUCUGAGGGGGCGUCAAAGCUUACCAAAGAAUAUCAAACUCCGAAUGCCGCAGAGAUGGUCCAUGGGAGUCAGACCGCAUGAGAUAAGUCGGGCGGUCAAAAGGGAAACAGCCCAGACCUGCAGCUAAGGUCCCAAAGUGUGUGUUAAGUGGAAAAGGAUGUGGGAUUUCGAAGACAGCUAGGAUGUUGGCUCAGAAGCAGCCAUUCAUUCAAAGAGUGCGUAACAGCUCACUAGUCGAGAGGUCCUGCGCCGAAAAUGUCCGGGGCUCAAACACAGCACCGAAGCUCAGGAAUGCAGCAAUGCAUUGGUAGAGGAGCAUUGCCGGAGGGAUGAAGCGGUACCGAUAAGGAGCCGUGGACUUCCGGGAAGAGAGAAUGCCGGAAUGAGUAGCGAGAUGGAGGUGGGAAUCCUCCAGGCCGAAUAUCUAAGGUUUCCAGGGUAAAGCUGAUCUGCCCUGGGUAAGUCGGGACCUAAGGCGAGGCCGGAAGGCGUAGCCGAUGGACAACAGGCUGAAAUUCCUGUACCAUACCGGUACAGAACUGCGGGGACGCAUGGGGAGAGCGCGAGCCGGGAACGGAAAGCCCGGCGCAAGCACAGGCCCUGCCAUGAGGCAAAUCCUUAUGGGGGAGGGGGGCUGUGUGACGCGGAGCGAAAUAACAGUAGCGAAGAGCGCCGCCCCUGUGCCGAGAAAAGCCGCUAUCGUUACCGGUAUGCCCGUACCGUAAACCGACACAGGUGGAUGAGGAGAGAAUCCUAAGGCCGGCGGGAGAAGCAUUGUCAAGGAACUCGGCAAAAUGACCCCGUAACUUCGGGAGAAGGGGUGCCCACGUGAGUGGGCCGCAGAGAAUAGGCUCAAGCAACUGUUUAGCAAAAACACAGGUCUAUGCGAAACCGAAAGGUGAGGUAUAUGGGCUGACGCCUGCCCGGUGCUGGAAGGUUAAGAGGAGAGGUUAGCGCAAGCGAAGCUUUGAAUUCAAGCCCCAGUAAACGGCGGCCGUAACUAUAACGGUCCUAAGGUAGCGAAAUUCCUUGUCGGGUAAGUUCCGACCCGCACGAAAGGCGUAAUGAUUUGAGCGCUGUCUCGACAAUGCACCCGGUGAAAUUGAAGUACCAGUGAAGAUGCUGGUUACCCGCGCCAGGACGGAAAGACCCCAUGGAGCUUUACUCCAGUUUGGUACUGGGGUCCGGUACUGCACGUACAGGAUAGGUGGGAGACAAAGAAGCAUGGACGCCAGUCUGUGCAGAGUCGCUGUUGGGAUACCACCCCUGCAGUAUUGGGCUUCUAACCAGCCGCCGUAAUCCGGCGGUGGGACAAUGCCAGGCGGGGAGUUUGACUGGGGCGGUCGCCUCCGAAAGGGUAUCGGAGGCGCUCAAAGUUUCCCUCAGGAUGGUUGGAAACCAUCUAAAGAGUGCAAAGGCAGAAGGGAGGCUGACUGCGACACCGACGGGUGGAGCAGGUACGAAAGUAGGACUUAGUGAUCCGGUGGCACAAAGUGGGAUUGCCAUCGCUCAACGGAUAAAAGCUACCCUGGGGAUAACAGGCUUAUCACUCCCAAGAGUUCACAUCGACGGAGUGGUUUGGCACCUCGAUGUCGGCUCAUCGCAUCCUGGGGCUGGAGCAGGUCCCAAGGGUUGGGCUGUUCGCCCAUUAAAGCGGUACGCGAGCUGGGUUCAGAACGUCGUGAGACAGUUCGGUCCCUAUCCGGCGCGGGCGUAGGAUAUCUGAGGGGAGCUGGCCUUAGUACGAGAGGACCGGGCUGGACGGACCGCUGGUGGAUCUGCUGUGCCGCCAGGCGCAUCGCAGGGUAGCCAAGUCCGGAAGGGAUAAACGCUGAAGGCAUCUAAGCGUGAAGCCCACCCCAAGAUAAGAUAUCCCAUUCCAAAAGGAAGUAAGAACCCUUGAAGAGUACAAGGUAGAUAGGACAGAGGUGGAAGUGCAGUAAUGUAUGGAGCUGACUGUUACUAAUCGUUCGAGGGCUUAUCCAAG